AAUUCCUCCUUUUCUCUACAUUUACUCCUCAUUCUUGAGGGGUAUGAAGGGAUGAAGGUCCAUCUUCUAUAACUUCUUUAAGCUGAAUCCAGCACAACAGGAAGUGUUGGUGACUACACACACCCUACCUUGUUCUGCCAAGAGGUCAUCAAGAGCCGGAUGGUUAUAACGCACGAUAUUGGCUAGGGUAGACUCUGGAUGAAACAAGGUGACUCCAAGAGCAAAGCUUAGAAUACCUGAAUACCUGCAAGCAAGACAAGUAGAUUAAGUCCUGACAGAAAAGUAUACGCGGGCCCAAGGGGCAUAUUGUCCUGGAAUUAUGGCCAACAUUCUACAGGGCAACAGGUCAUUGAUUCUGAUCCUGCCAGCCUCCACCCAUCUUAUUGGUGGGCAUCAUCCCAGGGUGAACCUGUGAAAGAUAUUGCUUAGUACUGCUUGGAGCUAUUUUUAGCCUCUGUGGACAGCUCCAUAGGGAGAAUGAACUAUUCGUCAACGUCACCCAUAUUUUACUGAAGAUUUUGAAGGUAUUCCAAUGUGACUGACUACUACGUUUCCUCACAUGUGUGCUGCUGUAUCUGAGAUCACCAUGUUUUCAAUUAUCUCAUAUGAACCUGUUUCUGUUCAGAAAAAAUCCUUCCCUGGUGAUCCUAUUGUGGUAGACAUAAAACUGUGCCACCCAGAUCCCAUUCCAGGGAAGAAUAUGCUGCUGAGCUGUUGGAAGUACAAUCAGUGGAAAACCUUGGUCUGUCAGCAACUUCAAGGUUUGCCUCCUUUGCAGAAAUGGUCCAUUCAAAGUCAUGCCCUUCCUAUAGCAGUCUACAUUCAACCACUGAGUGAGGCAGAAAUAAAAAAGUGCUGAUAAUUUUCAACCUACAAGGGCAUUAAUGAGCAAUACCUGCUCCAGAGCUCCACAGUGGGUUCUCAGAAGAUGUGUCUUGCCUGCAGCACAGCUUGACUCCUUCCACUAUUCAUUUUUUCUUCUUUUCCUUUUACUUCAGAGGCAUUAAAAAUGAAUAAAAAUCUUGAA
rnacentral:lncRNA from 1 species